rnacentral:rRNA from 1 species
GUGCCAGCCGCCGCGGUAAUACAGAGGGUGCGAACGUUGCUCGGAAUUACUGGGCGUAAAGCGCAUGUAGGCGGAUCCAUAAGUCGGGCGUGAAAUCCCCAGGCUCAACCUGGGAACUGCGUUCGAAACUGUAGGUCUAGAGUGUCGGAGAGGAUGGCGGAAUUCCUGGUGUAGAGGUGAAAUUCGUAGAUAUCAGGAGGAACACCGGUGGCGAAGGCGGCCAUCUGGACGACAACUGACGCUGAGAUGCGAAAGCGUGGGGAGCAAACAGGAUUAGAAACCCCCGUAGUCC